rnacentral:rRNA from 1 species
UACGAAGGGGACUAGCGUUGUUCGGAAUUACUGGGCGUAAAGCGCACGUAGGCGGAUUUGUAAGUCAGGGGUGAAAUCCCGGGGCUCAACCUCGGAACUGCCUUUGAUACUGCAAAUCUCGAGUCCGAUAGAGGUGGGUGGAAUUCCUAGUGUAGAGGUGAAAUUCGUAGAUAUUAGGAAGAACACCAGUGGCGAAGGCGGCUCACUGGCUCGGUACUGACGCUGAGGCGCGAAAGCGUGGGGAGCAAACAGG